UCUUAUUUGAUCCUCACACCCACUUCUUUGAAGUAUGUGUGACUUUGACCCCUUUCACACGUAUUUUUAUAUAACAGAUUAAUUUGCUGGAGGACACGGAAAUAGCUGAAAAGGGGAAAGGGAUUGUUGGGGAGGAUUUUAACCUUGGAGUGUUAACAUUCUCUUAGGAUCCUGCAGGGAGACUUUUGGCAAGUCUCAAUUCCUUCAUUUGCAAAUCAAAGAGAUUGGCGCAGAUCUAUGUUUUUGCCCCUUUUAGGGUCCUUAAGAAAUACACAGGGUAGUCAUUAAAAAAAAAAAAAAGCUUUUUCUUGGAGCCAACCUAUUCUGUCAUAUGGUUCUACAGGUCGGGGCAAGGUCCAGGAAACUGCAAUUUUCAAAAAUGACCCAGACGCUGCGCACUGUGAUGGCACACCUGUUAUCCCAGAAACUGGGGAAGCUGAGGCCAGAGAUCACAGGUUUGAGGCCAGCCUUAACAACUUAGUGAGACACUAUCUCAUCAUCAUCAUAAUAAUAAAUAAAAAUAAUUAAAGAAAGGCUAGCUGUAUAUCUCAGUGGCAAAGUGUCUCAGAGUUCAAUCUACCCACUCCACCCCCACCCCAAAAUGAUGCUGGUGAGAAUUCUAUUUAGACCACUAGUAAAGGCAACUGUUAACUUUAACAAACACAAAGUCCUCUUUAUGUACUGUUGCAACCACUUUACAAAUAUUAAAUCAUUUAAUUAUCAUACCUCUACAGUAGGGCAAUUCUUAACCUCAUAUUGUAGCAAAGGAGUUUGGCACCUGUACCCUUGUUCCUAGGCUUUACUUUACAUUGUUAGCUCAGCCUCAUGAACUUUCUGGCCUUGACACUUGCCCGCCUGCUGUCCUCAGGGUUCCUUGACUAGCAGCUCCCAGUCAUGAGGUCAGCGCAAGCAGCACCCUUGCAGGCCUAUCUGGACACCAGAGUGCAACACCCAAAAACCAAGACUGGGAAGAGCAUUUCUUCACCCAGAGAGGUGUCCCCAGAUCUGGUCUGCUCUAUUGGCACAAUAUAGAUCCUUCUGUCAUCUCACCAGUGAGGUGGUUUAAUUAGCAUUACCAGGGAGGCAUAGAUGCAAGUGUGUUUCUUCUUUAAUGAGGGUAAUUGAGUUCAAGAAUCUGUGCUCUUGCCACAGCAGCAACGUGGAGAAGAAUGAAAAUGCCCUUGAUAUUUGUAUUUUCACACUGGCAUGGUAUCUUACCAUCUUCCUCCUGCUUACUCUUUCUUUGACCAAAUGCUAUUUUAAAAUAAGAACCUCUAGGCAUCCACUUUAAAGGCAUUCCUAAAUAUAUAUGUCCAUCUGUUGCAUUUUCUUCAUAAACAAUACUGUCCUUAUUAAAGUGAUUCUUGGAAGGGCAGCAGAAUAGAAUAGACAAUAUGAUUGAUGUAUGUACAUUCCAUGUAUGUAUUAUAUGUCAAAAUGCAUUCUGCUGUCAUG
rnacentral:lncRNA from 1 species